UGUCGACUCCGUACGGGAGGCAGCAGUGGGGAAUAUUGCACAAGUGGGCGCAAGCCUGAUGCAGCCAUGCCGCGUGUAUGAAGAAGGCCUUCGGGUUGUAAAGUACUUUCAGCAGUGAGGAAGGUGGUGCAGUUAAUAGCUGUAUCACUUUGACGUUAGCUGCAGAAGAAGCACCGGCUAACUCCGUGCCAGCAGCCGCGGUAAUACGGAGGGUGCGAGCGUUAAUCGGAAUUACUGGGCGUAAAGCGCAUGCAGGUGGUUUGUUAAGUCAGAUGUGAAAGCCCCGGGGCUCAACCUCGGAAUUGCAUUUGAAACUGGCAGACUAGAGUACUGUAGAGGGGGUAGAAUUUCAGGUGUAGCGGUGAAAUGCGUAGAGAUCUGAAGGAAUACCGGUGGCGAAGGCGGCCCCCUGGACAGAUACUGACACUCACGAUGCGAAAGCGUGGGGACGCAAACAGGAUUAGAUACCCUGUAG
rnacentral:rRNA from 1 species